GACGAACGCUGGCGGCGUGCUUAACACAUGCAAGUCGAGCGGUAAGGCCCUUUCGGGGGUACACGAGCGGCGAACGGGUGAGUAACACGUGGGUGACCUGCCCUCAGCUCUGGGAUAAGCCUGGGAAACUGGGUCUAAUACUGGAUAUGACUCCACGGUGCAUGUCGUGGGGUGGAAAGCCUUGUGCGGCUGAGGAUGGGCCCGCGGCCUACCAGCUUGUUGGUGGGGUGAUGGCCUACCAAGGCGACGACGGGUAGCCGGCCUGAGAGGGCGACCGGCCACACUGGGACUGAGACACGGCCCAGACUCCUACGGGAGGCAGCAGUGGGGAAUCUUGCGCAAUGGGCGAAAGCCUGACGCAGCGACGCCGCGUGAGGGAUGACGGCCUGG
rnacentral:rRNA from 1 species